UCAGGGCCCUCUCCAGGGUGCAAUUCCCGGGGAACUGCCGGCUCUCGGCGUGGCUGUGGGUGCUGGCAGACAUGGCUGAGCUCGGGAGCCCAAACCAGCCUCCUCCCCUGCCCUGAGCAGAAACCACCCCGCUGGGCUGAGUCCACGUCCAAAACUGCGUCUCCCUCAGCGUGUCCCUUGGAGGCCCUCCCGGUCCCACUCACCUGGUCUCGAGGAGGGUGUGCAGAGAACAGAUCCCUUCUGUGCUCCCGGAGCCCGGGCAGCCCUUUUAUCCCCGGCUGAGGGGCGGUUUCACCACAGCUGGUGACACACCUGCCACAAGCAGCGGCUUGAGUUCGCCUUUCCCGCUCCUGGAAAUUGCCGGGUGGGCCCUUCCCGAGCCCCUCCCGGCUCGUUCCUCCUCAGGCAGUUCCUGGUUGCACCCACCGGGCUUUGGAAACGCCGUCCUUGCCCCGGCUGUCACCUCUGCCAGGCCCCACGUGCAGCAGGAGGGGACCCACGCCGGGUGUGUGGUCACACCUUGGCACAAGUUGCCAGAACUGGGCAAGUUUUGCAACGUGCCAAAAAUUCACACGUCUUCAGACUGGUGGGGGAGAAAGUCGGGCUGUUUUGCACAAAGCAGCAUCUGCCUUUCAAAACUGGUUUUCCAGAGUGUUUUCCAUUCCUCUCUAUCUUCACGUCACCCACACCAGACCUUUCCUCUCGCUCCAGGAAUUUUCUGGAGGAAACCGGGCAUAAAACCAGAGGAAAAGCCGAGCUCAGGGUCUCCACAGGCUGGUGGAUGAGCCACCAAAUGUUUUGCAACUGUCACCUCUGUGUCACCCGUCCAGAAGAAUGAGGAGACUCUCAGAAGAUUUAAACCAAGACAAUAGAUACCAGGAAGAGGAGAGGACCAGCAGAACAAGAGGGUAACCAGUCCUGUUUGAGGAUGCUCCUCGUGUGGCCCGGGGGCAGUGGCAGGAACUGUUGCAUGAGUUUUAUUCCCGUA